rnacentral:rRNA from 1 species
UACGGGGGGGGCAAGCGUUGUUCGGAAUUACUGGGCGUAAAGGGCUCGUAGGCGGCCAACUAAGUCAGACGUGAAAUCCCCAGGCUCAACCUGGGAACUGCGUCUGAUACUGGAUGGCUUGAAUCCGGGAGAGGGAUGCAGAAUUCCAGGUGUAGCGGUGAAAUGCGUAGAGAUCUGGAGGAACACCGAUGGCGAAGGCAGCCUUCUGGGCCAACACUGACGCUCAUGCACGAAAGCGUGGGGAGCAAACAGG